UACGUAGGGUGCGAGCGUUAAUCGGAAUUACUGGGCGUAAAGCGUGCGCAGGCGGUGAUGUAAGUUAGAGGUGAAAGCCCGGAGCUCAACUCCGGAACUGCCUUUAAGACUGCAUCGCUAGAAUUGUGGAGAGGUGAGUGGAAUUCCGAGUGUAGAGGUGAAAUUCGUAGAUAUUCGGAAGAACACCAGUGGCGAAGGCGACUCACUGGACACAUAUUGACGCUGAGGUGCGAAAGCGUGGGGAGCAAACAGG
rnacentral:rRNA from 1 species